rnacentral:rRNA from 1 species
AGAGUUUGAUCCUGGCUCAGGAUGAACGCUAGCGGCAGGCCUAAUACAUGCAAGCCGGACGGCAAGGCUGUUAGCAAUAACGGCCCUAGAGUGGCGCAAGGGUGCGCAACACGUAUGGAACCUGCCCACGGCCGGGGCACAGCCCCCCGAAAGGGGGAUUAACGCCCCAUAGGAAGGGAGGGCGGCAUCGCCCUCCCUUUAAACCACGGGGCCGUGGAUGGCCAUGCGCUCGAUUAGCUAGUUGGCAGGGUAACGGCCUACCAAGGCGAUGAUCGAUAGGGGACCUGAGAGGGUGAUCCCCCACACUGGCACUGAGAUACGGGCCAGACUCCUACGGGAGGCAGCAGUAGGGAAUAUUGGACAAUGGGUGCGAGCCUGAUCCAGCCAUGCCGCGUGCAGGAAGAAGGCCUUCUGGGUUGUAAACUGCUUUUGCCGGGGGAUAAAAGACCCAUGCGUGGGGAAUUGAAGGUACCCGGUGAAUAAGCCACGGCUAACUACGUGCCAGCAGCCGCGGUAAUACGUAGGUGGCGAGCGUUGUCCGGAUUUAUUGGGUUUAAAGGGUGCGUAGGCGGCCCCGUAAGUCAGUGGUGAAAUACGGCAGCUCAACUGUCGAGGUGCCAUUGAUACUGCGGGGCUUGAGUACAGUCGAGGUAGGCGGAAUUGACGGUGUAGCGGUGAAAUGCUUAGAUAUCGUCAAGAACACCGAUAGCGAAGGC